rnacentral:rRNA from 1 species
GACGAAGGUGGCAAGCGUUGCUCGGAAUCACUGGGCAUAAAGCGCGCGUAGGUGGCCUGAUAAGUCAGUGGUGAAAUCCCAUGGCUCAACCAUGGAACUGCCGCUGAUACUGUCGAGCUUGAGGACGGUAGGGGAGAGUGGAACUCCUGGUGUAGCGGUGAAAUGCGUAGAUAUCAGGAGGAACGCCGGUGGCGAAAGCGACUCUCUGGGCCGCUCCUGACACUGAUGCGCGAAAGCUAGGGGAGCAAACAGG